rnacentral:lncRNA from 1 species
UUCUCGUCAUCGUCGAAUUUUCUGCCGGCGGCACGUUUCCCAUGCUCGAGAGCAUACUCAUCACCUUCAACUUAUAGCCAGCCGUGUAGCUAUUGAGGUGCUUGCCCAUCUUGCCAAAACGUGAACGCCGUGUAGAAAACAAGCUAGCACGAAGGUCAUUGAACAGUGCGGAAAACUACAGCAAAUGGCUGGCUGAACUGCACAAACCAUGGCACAAACCGAACAACACGAAUGCUAUGCCAAAGCCUUCUAGCCACCCUAGU